GCUCACUUUGGUAGAACGUAUACGAAAAUUGGAAUGAUACAGAGAUUACUACAUCACCUGCACAAGGAUGAUCUGCAAACUUAUGAAGCAUUUCAUACUUUU